rnacentral:rRNA from 1 species
AGGACGAACGCUGGCGGCGUGCUUAACACAUGCAAGUCGAACGGAAAGGCCCUUUCGGGGGUGCUCGAGUGGCGAACGGGUGAGUAACACGUGGGUGAUCUGCCCUGCACUUUGGGAUAAGCCUGGGAAACUGGGUCUAAUACCGAAUACACCUUGCUGGCUGCAUGGCUGGUGGGGAAAGCUUUUGCGGUGUGGGAUGGGCCCGCGGCCUAUCAGCUUGUUGGUGGGGUGAUGGCCUACCAAGGCGACGACGGGUAGCCGGCCUGAGAGGGUGUCCGGCCACACUGGGACUGAGAUACGGCCCAGACUCCUACGGGAGGCAGCAGUGGGGAAUAUUGCACAAUGGGCGCAAGCCUGAUGCAGCGACGCCGCGUGAGGAUGACGGCCUUCGGGUUGUAAACCUCUUUCAGUAUCGACGAGCGCAAGUGACGGUAGGUACAGAAGAAGCACCGGCCAACUACGUGCCAGCAGCCGC